AGCGUACACGGUGGAUGCCCUGGCAGUCAGAGGCGAUGAAGGACGUGCUAAUCUGCGAUAAGCGUCGGUAAGGUGAUAUGAACCGUUAUAACCGGCGAUUUCCGAAUGGGGAAACCCAGUGUGAUUCGUCACACUAUCAUUAACUGAAUCCAUAGGUUAAUGAGGCGAACCGGGGGAACUGAAACAUCUAAGUACCCCGAGGAAAAGAAAUCAACCGAGAUUCCCCCAGUAGCGGCGAGCGAACGGGGAGCAGCCCAGAGCCUGAAUCAGUGUGUGUGUUAGUGGAAGCGUCUGGAAAGGCGCGCGAUACAGGGUGACAGCCCCGUACACAAAAAUGCACAUGCUGUGAGCUCGAUGAGUAGGGCGGGACACGUGGUAUCCUGUCUGAAUAUGGGGGGACCAUCCUCCAAGGCUAAAUACUCCUGACUGACCGAUAGUGAACCAGUACCGUGAGGGAAAGGCGAAAAGAACCCCGGCGAGGGGAGUGAAAAAGAACCUGAAACCGUGUACGUACAAGCAGUGGGAGCACAGAGCAAUCUGUGUGACUGCGUACCUUUUGUAUAAUGGGUCAGCGACUUAUAUUCUGUAGCAAGGUUAACCGAAUAGGGGAGCCGAAGGGAAACCGAGUCUUAACUGGGCGUUAAGUUGCAGGGUAUAGACCCGAAACCCGGUGAUCUAGCCAUGGGCAGGUUGAAGGUUGGGUAACACUAACUGGAGGACCGAACCGACUAAUGUUGAAAAAUUAGCGGAUGACUUGUGGCUGGGGGUGAAAGGCCAAUCAAACCGGGAGAUAGCUGGUUCUCCCCGAAAGCUAUUUAGGUAGCGCCUCGUGAAUUCAUCUCCGGGGGUAGAGCACUGUUUCGGCAAGGGGGUCAUCCCGACUUACCAACCCGAUGCAAACUGCGAAUACCGGAGAAUGUUAUCACGGGAGACACACGGCGGGUGCUAACGUCCGUCGUGAAGAGGGAAACAACCCAGACCGCCAGCUAAGGUCCCAAAGUCAUGGUUAAGUGGGAAACGAUGUGGGAAGGCCCAGACAGCCAGGAUGUUGGCUUAGAAGCAGCCAUCAUUUAAAGAAAGCGUAAUAGCUCACUGGUCGAGUCGGCCUGCGCGGAAGAUGUAACGGGGCUAAACCAUGCACCGAAGCUGCGGCAGCGACGCUUAUGCGUUGUUGGGUAGGGGAGCGUUCUGUAAGCCUGUGAAGGUGUACUGUGAGGUAUGCUGGAGGUAUCAGAAGUGCGAAUGCUGACAUAAGUAACGAUAAAGCGGGUGAAAAGCCCGCUCGCCGGAAGACCAAGGGUUCCUGUCCAACGUUAAUCGGGGCAGGGUGAGUCGACCCCUAAGGCGAGGCCGAAAGGCGUAGUCGAUGGGAAACAGGUUAAUAUUCCUGUACUUGGUGUUACUGCGAAGGGGGGACGGAGAAGGCUAUGUUGGCCGGGCGACGGUUGUCCCGGUUUAAGCGUGUAGGCUGGUUUUCCAGGCAAAUCCGGAAAAUCAAGGCUGAGGCGUGAUGACGAGGCACUACGGUGCUGAAGCAACAAAUGCCCUGCUUCCAGGAAAAGCCUCUAAGCAUCAGGUAACAUCAAAUCGUACCCCAAACCGACACAGGUGGUCAGGUAGAGAAUACCAAGGCGCUUGAGAGAACUCGGGUGAAGGAACUAGGCAAAAUGGUGCCGUAACUUCGGGAGAAGGCACGCUGAUAUGUAGGUGAAGUCCCUCGCGGAUGGAGCUGAAAUCAGUCGAAGAUACCAGCUGGCUGCAACUGUUUAUUAAAAACACAGCACUGUGCAAACACGAAAGUGGACGUAUACGGUGUGACGCCUGCCCGGUGCCGGAAGGUUAAUUGAUGGGGUCAGCGCAAGCGAAGCUCUUGAUCGAAGCCCCGGUAAACGGCGGCCGUAACUAUAACGGUCCUAAGGUAGCGAAAUUCCUUGUCGGGUAAGUUCCGACCUGCACGAAUGGCGUAAUGAUGGCCAGGCUGUCUCCACCCGAGACUCAGUGAAAUUGAACUCGCUGUGAAGAUGCAGUGUACCCGCGGCAAGACGGAAAGACCCCGUGAACCUUUACUAUAGCUUGACACUGAACAUUGAGCCUUGAUGUGUAGGAUAGGUGGGAGGCUUUGAAGUGUGGACGCCAGUCUGCAUGGAGCCGACCUUGAAAUACCACCCUUUAAUGUUUGAUGUUCUAACGUUGACCCGUAAUCCGGGUUGCGGACAGUGUCUGGUGGGUAGUUUGACUGGGGCGGUCUCCUCCUAAAGAGUAACGGAGGAGCACGAAGGUUGGCUAAUCCUGGUCGGACAUCAGGAGGUUAGUGCAAUGGCAUAAGCCAGCUUGACUGCGAGCGUGACGGCGCGAGCAGGUGCGAAAGCAGGUCAUAGUGAUCCGGUGGUUCUGAAUGGAAGGGCCAUCGCUCAACGGAUAAAAGGUACUCCGGGGAUAACAGGCUGAUACCGCCCAAGAGUUCAUAUCGACGGCGGUGUUUGGCACCUCGAUGUCGGCUCAUCACAUCCUGGGGCUGAAGUAGGUCCCAAGGGUAUGGCUGUUCGCCAUUUAAAGUGGUACGCGAGCUGGGUUUAGAACGUCGUGAGACAGUUCGGUCCCUAUCUGCCGUGGGCGCUGGAGAACUGAGGGGGGCUGCUCCUAGUACGAGAGGACCGGAGUGGACGCAUCACUGGUGUUCGGGUUGUCAUGCCAAUGGCACUGCCCGGUAGCUAAAUGCGGAAGAGAUAAGUGCUGAAAGCAUCUAAGCACGAAACUUGCCCCGAGAUGAGUUCUCCCUGACUCCUUGA
rnacentral:rRNA from 1 species